CCUACGGGCGGCUGCAGUGGGGAAUAUUGGACAAUGGGGGCAACCCUGAUCCAGCCAUGCCGCGUGUGUGAAGAAGGCCCUCGGGUUGUAAAGCACUUUCAGUGAGGAAGAACGCCUGGUGGUUAAUACCCAUCAGGAAAGACAUCACUCACAGAAGAAGCACCGGCUAACUCCGUGCCAGCAGCCGCGGUAAUACGGAGGGUGCGAGCGUUAAUCGGAAUUACUGGGCGUAAAGCGCGCGUAGGUGGCUUGAUAAGCCGGUUGUGAAAGCCCCGGGCUCAACCUGGGAACGGCAUCCGGAACUGUCAAGCUAGAGUGCAGGAGAGGAAGGUAGAAUUCCCGGUGUAGCGGUGAAAUGCGUAGAGAUCGGGAGGAAUACCAGUGGCGAAGGCGGCCUUCUGGACUGACGCUGACACUGAGGUGCGAAAGCGUGGGUAGCAAACAGGAUUAGAUACCCCAGUAGUC
rnacentral:rRNA from 1 species